UGUGUGUGAGUAAGCUGGAGCUGAGCGGCCUAUUUUUGUUUCAUUUUUGACCAGUUUCUGAGUUCUUGGAUCUACCCUAUGCACACGUUCAUGAAACACACUACAGAAAGCCUUUAAGAUUUUGCUCCAUUUACAUCAGAAAUCAAUCCACACCAGUCCAGAGGGAUUCCUCCCACCACCACAUGGUGACCUGCUGUGGGGGUGGACCACAGUGCACACCUCUCCUCUCUGACAUGCGGACACUGAGCCCAUUUUGCAGUACGUCACAGUUACACAUGCACUGCCAUGACUAAUCAUGUGCACCGAUAUGUCCAGACUGACGGACAUGCACCUGUAUGUUCAGACUGACAGAAGUGCAGCUCUCGGGCAAGUUCUCUCAGGCGGGCUUGUGAAGUCCACCAGCAAAGGUGUGUGCCCACUUGGUGGGUGUGACUGAUGCCCUGCCAUGGAGGUGGUGCCAUUCUGCACGUCCCCAGCCACGUGUGAGCCAGCCGGUGGCCCCACAGCCUGGCGGAGAGUGUGCUGAACGGUAUCUAACUUCUUUCCAGUCGGGAAGGUCUGAAGAAACGGCACCUCAGGGUGGGUCUGGUUUUGUCUUGUUGUAAGUGAAACCUUUUCAAAUGAUUGGAGAUGAUUUUAUAUCUUUUUGUGAGUCAGCUACUUAUCUUUUGCUCUCUUUUCUCUCUCAGGUUUAUGGGCUUUUUACUCUUUCCAAUUUUAAGAGUUUGUUAUAUGUUCUAUAUAGAGACCUUGGCUCUUUAUCAAUAUCUUCUCCUGGGUUCUCAGUUGUGGUGUGAUUUUAUUUUUUGCGGGUGCAUUAAUCACAUAGAAUAAGGGGGUACCUUCACGUACUCACACAGGCACAGAACGUGAUUCGGUCACUCUCACACUCCAGGACCUCCCUUUCCCUCCCUCCUCUCUCCUCUGUCUCCUUCCUCUGCUCUACGAGAUAGAGCUGAUUUAUAAGGCAAGUUGCUAAGAUAUCUGACAAUAUGAAAAAUAUCAAGUAAAGAAAAGCUGAAAUGAGAUUUCAAGCUCUGCUCUCCAACUGCUUUGGGAAAGCCUGGCUGGAGCCGGGGCAAACACUUGGAAAACCCCAGCAGUGAGUUGUCAACCUUCUCAAAAUGUCAAGACCUCAAGACCAAGUCCCCGGGGCCUGGGGAGAAGGCAGGCAUGCCCAUAAGGGAGGUGGAGAGUCACUAAUAAUUCUACAAAGAUUUUUAAAAAUAUUUUUUAGUUGUACUUGGACACAGUAACUUUAUUUUAUUUAUUUAUUUUUUGAUGUGGUGCCGAGGAUCGAACCCAUUACCUCACGCAUGCUCUACCUCUGAGCCACAGCCCGGGCCCUACAAAAGCUAAAUUUAAAUCUACGCAGCCUGAAGCUCUGUGAGGAAGUUUGAGGCCUCAUGAAAGUCCAGGGCAGCUGGCCCCACUUGCAGUGGCAAAUUCCAAAUCACAGUCCCUUCUCCAAGCCCCACUGCUCUCUGCUCCAGAAAAUGACCAACCCGAAGCCCAAAGAGUCUCGUGCACCUCACCAUAGACUGAGGAGCCGGCACACAGGCGUUUCCACCGGGCCCCGUGCCCCUGGUUUUCUUGGACAGGUCUGCAUGGACUCAUAACUGGACAGUUCCCAGCCUGUGUCCCAGGAGUCACGGUUCCACUCCACGUGUCAGUGGUGUCAGUUCUGAACAGAAGCUGCCAUUCUGGGAACGCAGCUCGACUCCUGGGAGCCGCGAGCCCUCCAAGUGGAUGGGGCAGGGUCGGCUCAGGUGGGGUGCCUGUGCAGCUGUCUUCUCCCCCUCUUGGCCAUCAUGGGGGAUGCAUUGCCAACUCCAGUCCUCAGAGGCCAAGCGGGCGAGGUGAGAGUGGGUGGGUGCUGACCUGAGUCCACCUACGGGAGGAGGGUGCUGCUGCCCCCCAGCCCCAGCCCACCGCCUGCAUGUGCACAGUGGGUCAUUUUUCCAAAGAUGGUUCAAGGUCCAGCAUCAUCAGAUGCUCUGAUGUUUCCACAGAAGAUUUUAAGUUUGAUCUGUUUGUUUUUUAAAAAUCAGCUCCAUGUUUUAAAAACAAGAGAAUCUGAGUGGGAUGGGUGGUGUUGCCUGCCGUGUUCCAUCCCCAGGGCCCCUGUCUGCUGCUCCUGGUUUCCGGGAAGAAUGCUUUGAUCCUACCCUACCAUUCUCUGGACAACUCCAGGUGGACAAUUCUGGUUCACUAUAUGAAUUUAUUUCUAAUUAUUUUAUGCACAUCAUUAUAUCAUUGUUCUCAGUAUCAAAUAACAGCAAAGGUACUACCACAUCUCACUGAAGUCUAAGGAGUAUCAGAUCUUAACACAGGACUCAGGCGGGGUGAGAAGACCUGGGUGAGCGUCCUCUACCCUUGGCCAGCCUCGAGACCCCUGAAUGGUAGUUCCCGAAUCAGCAGAAUGAGUCAGAAUGACCAGCUCACGGAAUGCCCACGAGGCUUUCAAGACAAGCUGUGCAAUAAGAGUGCUCCAUAAAUAUUUGCUCCACUCCUUCUAGAAGACAGACACGAGGCUCCAUAAAUCCACACAGACUGUAAACAAAUAAAUUGGGAGGGAUUACUGCUGUUUUACUAAUAGUCUCUUCACUUUACGAAAGGAUUUCCCAUAAUGGGCUUCUCUGGGUGCAUGGAGAACACACUGUUCUCCCUAGUUUUUGCUUACGUAAAACUUUUUUUUUUUUUUUUUUAAAUGAACAAGCAUUCCAUCUUCUCAAUGCCCGUCUCCCAGCCUGUCCUGCAGGGCUGCCCCCACUGGGUGGAGAAGGGAUUGCUGUCCGCUGGAUCAGAAGCAAAGAUGAUGCUUCUGAUGAGCCAUGAGGCCACAAUCCCUGGGGAGUCAGCAACCACAGGGCACUGCUGCAGGAGAGCUCCUCCUUCCAAAUCGCCCCCGGGGCCUCCUGUCACUCUGUUAGGGGAACCAGCCCUGUCUCCUCCACGGGGGACAGGCUGUGGAGGAGCAGCACAUUCCUGCCCAGCCAGGGGAUCUGAGACGGCACCCACAGGCACAGCUGGGGUUUUGGAAAUCUCAGGGCACAGCGGUUAUGUCAUGGGCUCUGUCCUGCCCGACAGCAGCACAUAGGAAGCACCUGUAGACAGCAGGGAACCAGAGGAAUUAAAAAUAUCUGCCUGGUCCCUAAAAAAAAUAAAUGAGAGAGGAAAAAUGGUCUCUUUUCUUUUCACAGGGAAAACAAACAAAGCGAUAUCUGGUUGGAGCCAUUUCCUCUUUGCCAAACACGCCCCUCCUGGAGCCGCCCCUCCCCGGGCGGACGUGGGCCUGAGAGUGGCGGUCAGCGAGGGUCCUGGAGCAGGGGCUAAGUCUCAGGCUCCGGGUUUCGUUAGGCGGGGAGCAGGAGGAAAGCUGAGCUCAUUUCCCUGGGGAGAGGUGCGUCCUCCAUCCCGCUCUGGAAACAAGGGGCCUUGUGUUUGUCCCCACACUCUCCUCAACCCCAGGAAGUCUGUCCCUGGGAGCCGUGAGGAGCAGCGAUGACAGGCCCAUCCGGAGAGGUCGAGGGUGCUGGGUCUGCAGGACGUGGCCAAGCUCACGAGCAGAUUUGGGGACAGCAACUGGGAAACAUCAGAUCCUGUCUCCCUGGCUCCGCACACCUACUCGGUCACCAAGCCUGUCCUUCUGUCCUUUAUUUAUAUUUCUGCUCUGUCUCCUCAUCCUCACUGUGGCCACUGACCCUCAGGAUGCCAUUAUCUCUCCUGCACCUGUGGGGGGUUUCUUGGUCUCCACUCUUCUUCCGCUUUUCCAUUCUCCCCUCUGCUGUCCAUUGGUCUUUCUCAGCUGUAAGUCUGCCGUGUCUUCACCCGGUCACCUUCCUGAAAACCCGGAAUCUGACAUGCUCCAAAACUGAAAGCUUUCCCAACAGCGACCAGACCUGACACCAUGAGGGGAGAGUCCACGCCUGACCUCACGGGAUGGGCACGGCUGAAACAAAGGAACUCUAACAAUGAUCACAUGGAAUUCUCUUUGGCCCAUAUGAAUAAGGUGCUUGCGAAACAAAUGAAUUUCACGUUUGUACUUGGGUCUCAUCCCUGAAAUCUCUCAAGAUAGGCACACGCAAACAUUCCAGAAUCUGGAAAAAUUAAAAAUCAAAAACACCCUGGGCCCAAGUCUUUGGAAUAAGGCACCCUUUUAGACCAUGAGCCCAGUCCCCUCUCCUUCCUACGAGGUCACACCUCCUCACGGCAGCAGCACUUGCUGAGCAGACUGCGGGCCACACCGGGCGUCUGAUGGAGACCAGCUCUUCCGAUGCUUUGGCCGUCGGGCUUUGGACAGUGGGAGUGGGGAUCAGGAGGCUGAUGAGUGGCCAAGGCCUCUGAGCUGCAGAGGGGCUGGGGUUCAGCCCUGGCAAUCUGACAGCAGGCCCCGGCUCUUCCCAUCCUGAGCCUCUUGUGCCUUUCUGAACACCAUGUACUUCCCACCUCCAACGCUGUGGUCCUCAUUGCCACCACCUACUCGGAUCUUCCUCCUCCAAGACCCAGCUCCCUGCCCACUCUGGGAAGCCUUCAGGGACCUACCCCUGGAUAGUGUCGCCACGACCACCUGCUUUGCUAACCUUGACCCAUUGGUCCCUCUCACCAGCCUGACCUAUGGGUGGAGGAGGUACUGUGGACUUUUAGCACCCACACGUGACAGGUGUGCAAUGACUAUCUGCUGACCUCAAGCCCCAGCCUUUGGAGAAGGCAGGUCUGCAUGGUAGACUGUCUCUGCUGCUGGGCCUCACGUCUCUGUGAGUAGCCCAGGACCAGCCACGAGCUCGGCUGCUGUAGAACCUCUCCCCAUGGACCCCAGCGUCCACCCAACUGAGCCUGAAGACAAGUUGGCAGAGGGAAAGCUGCCGGGGGAUGCAGAGAAACCCCCAUCCAGAGUGUGAAACCUACGCAGUCAGCCCCAGAAAGCCCCAGAAGGCCAGGAGGAGAGCCUCUCAGUCUCCAUCUGGGAAGAAAGGUGUGACCCUGACCAUCACUGGGCAGUGCAAGGCACCACUGCACGGCCGCUGGCAAAGGUGUGUGUCGAUGGUAAACCAAGGUGCCCCCACCACGGGAAGAGUGGCCCCUUCAAAACAGCUGCAGCGAGCGCCCUGACCGUUCUGCCUCUUCUGAGACAAUAACCUGGGGCCGUGCCACGAGAGUUUGAAAAUGCCUUGUUCUUUCUUAGAAAACACAGUCAGGAAGUGGGGAAUGCAGUUUAUACGACCUCGAGGAGUCAGAGGCCACCUGGAUACUGUUUUAGAGAAGAGCUGCAGAGAACCUACGCACAAGAGUAACAAAACAGCACGCGCCCGCUAAAGUGACAGGUGACAGACCUCGACUUUCUAAAGCUACGAGGUCCACAGAGGUCCACAUGGAACUGCGACAUCGGCUGGAAACCCUGCAGAGCUCGGGCCCAGCCAUUGGUACCCACACGAUCCGUCCCCACCCGCGUGUGCGCCCUGACAAGACUGGGUGCGCUGGCCUUGAAGUUGCUCCGCUUCCCGGAGUUAGACGGUAACCACCGGCAAUCUGUGUCCCUGCGGGGCUGCCACCCAGCCUGGCCCUGGGAAGGAGCGCCUGGUGCCAGUCUGGCUGCUGCGUGUCUCUUCACUGGCCCAGGCUGAAAAUACCCUGGAGCGUCUGGGCACCGUGCAGUUCAGUUUUAAAGGGGCCCAGCUCCUUUUAAGCCCAACCCCCUCCCGGUCCUGAUGAUAAGGGAGGCAGCUCCUCUGCGAGGAAUGGAGGGUGAGGAGAGACGAGAGCCAGGGCCUCCUCACCCAGCUGGUAGCCAGGCUGCCCUCCUGUGAGAAAGGCAGCGGACCUGUCCCCUGUCCCGGCUGAGGAGAAACAUCUGGGCCCAGCCCCAGACGAGGGGGGUGGGGAACGCAGCCUGUUGGAGCCGUCCCUGGUCGCCUGGGAUGACAGAGGGCUGAUAAGGGUUGGUGCACGUUCCCAGCCAGGCUCUCCCCCAAGCCUGCCCACCCGUCUCCUCCACUAGGCUGGGCAGAGCCACUCACCACAGGCCCCAGAGGAAGAAAGCCGCAGGACACAGGCAGAGGCUGGGGGCGUCCCAGGCAGUACGGCUGGGGGCCGCUCAGGUGGCCGCGGAGCACACUACACCCUGUGCUGGCUCACGGACCCUGGAGGAGGGGGUGGGCACUGCGCCUGGGCGGGCGCAGGAGGCUGUUCAGCAGCACUGUGCCUGGCCCUCUCCCCAGGCUGCGGCUGGACAGGCCCCGUGGGAGUGGUCACCUGGCUCCAAGGAGCCCUCGGCAUGCCACUCGGCCCCCACAGCUGCCAUGUCCUUUCUGUUCUCACCACAGCUGAAGGUGAGGCCUGAAUUGUGUCCCCCAAUCCCCACACUGAAGCCUGGUCACCAGCCCCUGAGAAUGUGACUGUGUUUGGACAAAGGGUCUUUACAGAGGUAGUUAGGUCGGAGUGAGCUCUUCACGGUGGGCCUAAUGCCACUUGACUGCCGUCCUCAGGAGGAGACACACACCAUGUGAGAACAGAAGGAGAAGGUGGCUGUCCCCAAGCCCAGAAGCAAGGCCUUGGAAGGAGCCACCUGCAGUCCUUGACCUUGGCCUCCCAGCCUCCAGAGCUGUGGGGAAGCAGAGCUUUGCUGCUCCAGCCGACCUCUCUGUGUCGUGACAGCCGAGCAGACGACUGGGGCAUGGUGGCCUUGUGGAAGGGGCCUCUGGGCACACUCCCUGGCUCACAGCAUGCGUCAGGCGAGAGCGCCUCGGGUCCUCUCCCACCUGGUCAAGCUCUCCGGCCUGCACAAGCACAGCCACUGCAGGGCCGGGAUCCUGGCCCGGCUCUGUCCUAACUGGUGCUUCUCUACGGAAAAUGCAAAAUCCUUCCCUAGACCGAGCGGAGUCCCUGUAGCUCCUGGACACUGGCCAGAGCUCAUGCCAGGGAUGGCAGUGGUCCUUCUGGGGUGGACAGCAGGUCUCUCCCUGCCCCAGGCUGGAGCCCAACCCAACACCGGGGACUCAGGAAGUUCCAUGCACCGCAGCUGAUGGCAUCACACACAGCCUCUGCCUAGGGUGAGUGCCCCACCCCAUCUGGCCUCCCAGAGCUUCAAAGAGGAGCCACAGAGGAGGAAGAAGCAGAGGCCUAGGUGCAGGUGGACAACAGCAGCUUACCCUGUUACCUUACGUCAGCGCCUAGGCUCCAGGGCACCGCCUCUCCUAAUGGGCCAAGUUAUCUCCAGACUGAGCUCAGGAUCACCUCCUUGGGGGCCUCCCCGCCCGGGACUCCUCCUGCUCCAGGCAGGAUGUGCAGAUCGCCACAGAGAACCGCGUCUGCCCAGUAUUGACCGAACUGCUGCAACCACACCUGGCCUUUCUGACUCCCUGACUAGGCUGCAAGGCCCCUGUAGGCAGGAGCCAAGCUUCAUUCCCCAAGGUAUCCAUGGUCCCAGCAGAGAACCCGACACAGUUGGUGCUCGUCGCAGAUCUCAGCCAGCCAGUGAGCAGACACGCUCCCCAGACUGCAAGCCGUCACCUAGAAGCCAGCUUCAACACUCAGGUUCUGCUCCUUUCCUGACCCCACAGGAGGUUCCUGUGUCCCCAGUGUCACUGUCACUGCCUGCCCCACCCCUAUCUGGUAUGUAACUUCCCCCCAGCGGCCUGCGCUCCAGGGGGAAGUACCAGAGGAUUGCUUCAUUUCCCAGGGUGUCCACACCCCCUUCCUCCGCUGCCCAGGCUGGCAGCAAUACCCUGGGAGGAAAGGGCCGUUGGCUGGACACGGCUCCUGGGCCCUCUCACCCCACAUUCCCUUCCUGGAGCAUCCUGCUGAGCCGGCAAGCUGUACGGGGAGCCUCCGCGGAAGGAAGGAAGGAGGCCAGGGCCAAAGUGGCAACAUGCAUGGAAAGCCAUAAAAACAUCCAUGUCCUCGACCUAAUAAUCCACUCCCGGGAAUUGCUUCCAAAGAAAUCAUUCAGAAGAAGAAAAGGACACAGGACUGUUUAUAGCUGGGUUAUUUAUAACAGGAGAAAGUGGAAGCCAACGCCAUGGCCCAAGAUAGAAAAGCGACUAAAUAAAGGAUGGUGUAGAGUAUCAUAGACCUUCGAGAAGGCGUUUGAAAUGACAAUAUGGCUACGCAGAACAAGGACGUCAUCUUGGAAAUAACAGUAAAUAAGAAGAGUGCAGACUUGCGUCUAUGCUGACUCCAGCUAUGUAAGAAUCCUGUGUGGCCAAAUAUAAUAAAGACCCAAAGCUGAAAGUAGUUAUACCUAGUGGAAUUAUCCAUUUCUCCCUUCUUUUAAUUGAGAGAGAGAAAUAGUCAUUGUGUUAGGAUGAUGAAGGUUUAUGGUUUACCUGAAAAUGUUCAAGAUUAGCUUAAUAAUAAAUGAAUAUCUUACUUUUUUAUAGUACUGGGUAGAGGACCCAAGGUCUCAUGCAUGCCAGACUAGUGCUCUACCACUGAGCCACAUUCCCAGCCCUUUUUAUUUUUGAGAAGGAUCUCACUGAGUUGCGCAGACAGGCCUUCAGGUGGCUGGGAUCACAGGCAUGCACCAAGGGUUUUUUCUUGGUCACACUUUGAUCAUCGGUUGAGAAACAAGAACCAGAACAUUCUUCCUUCAGACUUUGUCAGUGGACGGCUGAAGCCUCAUGAUUCAUCUGCUGCAGGACCACAGCCUGGGUGCCACGGAGGCUUAGAGGACACCUGGCUACCCCACUCCCAUCCUCUCCAGCCUCAGGUCACAGCCCAGAGCCCACAGGCUCCCGUGUCCCUGAGGCCUCCUUUCCGGAGCUAGAGAGAGAAUCUGGGAAAAGGACCUGAGGAGAGUCCGGGAGGCCGGGGCAGGAGGAGAGACUCAAAUCCUGCAUUUGGGGUGUGAAAAUAAAGUCUGAGAUUGAGUUAUCUUUUUCCUCAAAAAAAAGUUGUUGGGCUGGGGUUAAAUCUGAUCCCCGGCUCCUAAUAAGUGAAUAAAUAAUCAUCAAUGAAA